GAUCCUAGCUCAGGAUGAACGCUAGCUACAGGCUUAACACAUGCAAGUCGAGGGGCAGCAUGUCGGUUGCUUGCAACCGAUGAUGGCGACCGGCGCACGGGUGAGUAACGCGUAUCCAACCUACCCUUGUCCAUCGGAUAACCCGUCGAAAGGCGGCCUAACACGAUAUGCGGUUCACAGCAGGCAUCUAAGGUGAACGAAAUGUGAAGGAGAAGGAUGGGGAUGCGU
rnacentral:rRNA from 1 species